rnacentral:rRNA from 1 species
AGAACGAACGCUGGCGGCAGGCUUAACACAUGCAAGUCGAACGCUCGUAGCAAUACGGGAGUGGCAGACGGGUGAGUAACGCGUGGGAACAUACCCUCCGGUUCGGAAUAGCUCAGGGAAACUUGGAUUAAUACCGGAUACGGCUGAGAGGCGAAAGAUUUAUCGCCGGAGGAUUGGCCCGCGUUCGAUUAGCUAGUUGGUGAGGUAACGGCUCACCAAGGCGAUGAUCGAUAGCUGGUCUGAGAGGAUGAUCAGCCACAUUGGGACUGAGACACGGCCCAAACUCCUACGGGAGGGAGCAGUGGGGAAUAUUGGACAAUGGGCGCAAGCCUGAUCCAGCCAUGCCGCGUGAGUGAUGACGGCCUUAGGGUGUAAAGCUCUUUCGCUCGGGACGAUAAUGACGGUACCGAGAUAAGAAGCCCCAGCUAACUUCGUGCCAGCAGCCGC